rnacentral:misc_RNA from 1 species
UCUCCGUUGGUGAACCAGCGGAGGGAUCAUUACAGAGUUAUACAACUCCCACACCAUUUGCCAACUUUACUCAGUUAUGCCUCGGCGUAAGCUCCGUACGGGGCUGCCGGGUUGCGCUGCGGGCGACAGCUACCCUGUAGCUUACCCUGUAGCGCUACCCUGUAGCGUUACCCUGCGGCGGCCCGCCGGUGGAAACGAAACUCUUGUUUUAUUGUAUCUUCUGAGCGUCUUAUUUUAAUAAGUUAGAACUUUCAACAACGGAUCUCUUGGUUCUGGCAUCGAUGAAGAACGCAGC